rnacentral:rRNA from 1 species
UACGUAGGGUGCGAGCGUUGCCCGGAUUUAUUGGGCGUAAAGGGCGCGUAGGCGGCCACGCACGUCCGUUGUGAAAUCGCCCGGCUCAACUGGGCGAGGUCGGCGGAUACGGCGUGGCUGGAGCAAGCUAGGGGGCAAUGGAAUUCCCGGUGUAGUGGUGGAAUGCGUAGAUAUCGGGAGGAACACCAGUGGCGAAGGCGGUUGCCUGGAGCUUUGCUGACGCUGAGGCGCGAAAGCGUGGGGAGCGAGUCCGG